rnacentral:rRNA from 1 species
CCCUUAGAUGUUCUGGGCCGCACACGCGCUACACUGAAGGAGGCAGCGUGUACUCCUGGAUCGAAAGAUUUGGGUAACCCGCGAAUCUCCUUCGUGCUAGGGAUUGAGGUUUGCAAUUAUCCUUCAUGAACGAGGAAUUCCCAGUAAGUGCAAGUCAUAAGCUUGCGCUGACUACGUCCCUGCCCUUUGUACAUACCGCCCGUCGCUACUACCGAUUGAAUGAUUUAGUGAGGACUUCGGACUGGGACCGAUGCGGCUUUCGGGCUGCGUCGGUAUUCUGGAAAGAUGUCCAAACUGUAUCAUUUAGAGGAAGUAAAANUCGUAACA